rnacentral:rRNA from 1 species
UUUGCAUUGACCUCAAAUC